rnacentral:rRNA from 1 species
GGAUGAGCGGCGGACGGGUGAGUAACGCGUGGGGAUAUGCCCUUCUCUAAGGAAUAGCCUCUGGAAACGGAGAGUAAUACCCUAUACGCCCUUCGGGGGAAAGAUUUAUCGGAGAAGGAUUAGCCCGCGUUAGAUUAGGUAGUUGGUGGGGUAAUGGCCUACCAAGCCUACGAUCUAUAGCUGGUUUGAGAGGAUGAUCAGCCACACUGGGACUGAGACACGGCCCAGACUCCUACGGGAGGCAGCAGUAGGGAAUCUUAGACAAUGGGGGAAACCCUGAUCUAGCCAUGCCGCGUGUGUGAUGAAGGCCUUAGGGUCGUAAAGCACUUUCGCCAGAGAUGAUAAUGACAGUAUCUGGUAAAGAAACCCCGGCUAACUCCGUGCCAGCAGCCGCGGUAAUACGGAGGGGGUUAGCGUUGUUCGGAAUUACUGGGCGUAAAGCGCACGUAGGCGGAUUAGUAAGUUAGAGGUGAAAUCCCAGGGCUCAACCCUGGAACUGCCUUUAAUACUGCUAGUCUUGAGUUCGAGAGAGGUAAGUGGAAUUCCAAGUGUAGAGGUGAAAUUCGUAGAUAUUUGGAGGAACACCAGUGGCGAAGGCGGCUUACUGGCUCGAUACUGACGCUGAGGUGCGAAAGUGUGGGGAGCAAACAGGAUUAGAUACCCUGGUAGUCCACACCGUAAACGAUGAAUGCCAGACGUU